rnacentral:lncRNA from 1 species
UUUCUGUCUGCCAGAACACAAAGCAGAAUUAAUUUAAGCUACUGUACAGGUUAAUACAUCCUUUAAGGUGAGAGAUACUGUAUAAAUAUAGUGGCACCAACAUCCUAGGCAAUAUUUUAGUAUGAAAUUUCGUCUGACCUUAUUAAUUUUACUUGGAGAAAAACAUAGAGGAAAUAAAAGAAAGAACACAUCAUGUCAGGUUGUCCAUUUAUGAUCACAGAAGCCCUGCUCUUGUCAUCCAUUGCUGGUUGAUGCUGGUGCUGGUGAGAAGAACUGAGACAGUGAGAGAGGCACAAGAUCACUUUACAGGGGAAAGGGAAAUCCACUUGCACCAGGUGGGAGCCUGCCCCUUUGCUUUGAACUUCAUCUGCUGGUGUCUGGUGAGGCUCCUGUUUGUGGGAACACUGUCCCUUGGAGCAGGCUUCUUCUGCUGCAGCAGCUGCUGCCCACCACAUCUCUAUGGUCACCUCAGAUUAAUAUUUUUCCACUUAUCACAUAGGUACUUCUGAGUCUUUCUGGUAAUGGAUAUUUGGCCCAUCUGAGCUUGUUCACCCUUUCUGUCCCCCAGAUCUCACAGCCUGGCCUUCAAGGGCUUGCAAAUAAAGCAAAAGUGUUAGAAAAUAAGGAUGCUCCU